rnacentral:lncRNA from 1 species
GAUGCAAACCCUUCUGCCCCUUUUUGCUACCCCUGAAGCUUACUGUUAGUGGUCGAGUUUUUCUGGAAGUGGGCUUCCGCGAUCGCGGGGACCAACGCCCUGAGCUCUUGUGCCCAAAGGGGAUCGCCAGGUUUUUUGAUGCGGAUCGAAAGGGACUGGCCCCGGAGCCUACAACCUGACGCAGGUGGACAAGGUGGAGGAGAGAGAAUUCCUUGGCAGUAGCAUUAUGAACAAAUGCAGGGCUGAGAAACAGCAUGGUGGCCUUGACUAAGUUUAUGGCGACAGCAGAUGGAGUCUUGCUCUGUCGCCCAGGCUAGAGUGCAGUGGCGCGAUCUCAGCUCACUGAAACCUCUGCCUCCCGGGUUCAAGUGAUUCUCCUGCCUCCGCCACGCGAUGCCUCUUCAUGGGUGGUGGAUGAAGAAACUGAACAGGGCCAUGAUCCUUAUCUGUAAUUUCCCGGCUACCACACUGCUUUGGUGGUCUUCCCUCGUCUCUUCCUGGGUAGAAACAACUACCUGGAGAUCCCAAUGUUCUUGUCAGUGCACUUUUCAUGGACUGCAGUGGUAAGACGAUGUGUUGGAUGCCCAAACACAAACCAAGAGCCCUCUACCUUCGCAAUUCCCGGUGCUGUGGAGCUGUCAGAGUUUUAACAUCUCAACCAAGCCACAUGGAUACUAUUUCCUCAGAAAAGACAAAAUUGAUCCAAGCAGAAGAGUGAACUCACCGAAGAGGACUCUCUACCCAUAACUGGGGAUGCCUCAGCCACUCACACUUACUCCAAGAUUAGUGUCACUGAUUAUGGAAAGAAUUGACUUCUUCCCCUGGUCUUGCUCAUUUUUCUAGAGCCCAGGACAAUAAAUGUGUUUUACGGCAGAGAAAAGUGAAGACGGGUGGAAUUGUGUGUGUUGAGAGAGAAGCAGAUAGGCAAUCUUACGCUUUGGCUCCUAGAUUAUGCAGGUGCCUCUUUUCUAUCAUCUCCAUAAAUCCUACCCUUACUGCGCUUCCUAUUCUGCAGGGGUAUUUUGUUGUCCGUAACAGAACUCCUCCUCUGUCUGUAAAGUUUAGGUUUUGAUAAAAAAUCCUCUUCCCUCCAGAAGCGUCUACUAAAAAUACAAAAAAAUUAGCUGGGUGUGGUGGCAUCCACCUGUAGUCCCAGUUACUCAGGAGACUGAGGCAGGAGAAUCGCUUGAAACUGGGAGGCGGAGGUCGCAGUGAGCCAAGAUCAUGCCACCGCACUCCAGCCUGGGUGAGAGUGAUACUCCGUCUCAAAAAACAAAUGAACAAUAAAAAACAAACAAAAAA